GUGAAUCAUCGAAUUUUUGAACGCAAAUUGCACUCUCUGGUAUUCCGGAGAGUAUGCCUGUUUGAGGGUCAGUUUAAAUAAAAUUCGGUGUGGUUGCUGCUUUUCGUGGUGAGGCACCGGAUGGGGGUCGUCUUGCUUUGGGUUAAGGGCUCUAAAUUUUUGCAUGAUUUUUUCGAACGUAUUUAAAUGAUUUUUAGGAUGUUUGCGAUGUAGAAUAC
rnacentral:misc_RNA from 1 species